rnacentral:rRNA from 1 species
AUUAACGCUGGCAGUGUGUAUAAUACAUGCAAGUCGAGUGUUUGUAGCAAUACAGACACGGCAGACGGGUGAGUAACACGUUGGUACCUGCCCUGAAGUGAGGGAUAACCCCGCGAAAGCGGGGGUAAUACCGCAUAGUGUCGCAAGACUAAAGCUUCGGCGCUUCAGGAGGGGCCUGCGCAAUAUCAGCUUGUUGGUAGGGUAACGGCCUACCAAGGCUAUGACGUUUAGCUGGUCUGAGAGGAUGAUCAGCCACAAUGGAACUGAGACACGGUCCAUACUCCUACGGGAGGCAGCAGUAAAGAAUCUUCCGCAAUGGGCGCAAGCCUGACGGAGCAACACUGCGUGGAGGAUGAAGGCUUUCGGGUCGUAAACUCCUUUUCUGGGGGAAGAAGUUCUGACGGUACCCCAGGAAUAAGCGACGGCAAACUACGU